AACGAACGCUGGCGGCGCGCCUAAUACAUGCAAGUCGAGCGAGAAGACGUAGCAAUACGUUUGUAAAGCGGCGAACGGGUGAGGAAUACAUGGGUAACCUACCCUCGAGUGGGGAAUAACUAGCCGAAAGGUUAGCUAAUACCGCGUACGCUCCUUGGACUUCGGUUCAGGGAGGAAAGCGAUACCGUGGGUAUCGCGCUCUUGGAUGGGCUCAUGUCCUAUCAGCUUGUUGGUGAGGUAACGGCUCACCAAGGCUUUGACGGGUAGCUGGUCUGAGAGGACGAUCAGCCACACUGGCACUGCGACACGGGCCAGACUCCUACGGGAGGCAGCAGUAAGGAAUAUUGCGCAAUGGGCGAAAGCCUGACGCAGCGACGCCGC
rnacentral:rRNA from 1 species